AGAGUUUGAUCCUGGCUCAGGAUGAACGCUAGCUACAGGCUUAACACAUGCAAGUCGAGGGGAAACGACAUCGAAAGCUUGCUUUUGAUGGGCGUCGACCGGCGCACGGGUGAGUAACGCGUAUCCAACCUGCCCAUCACUUGGGGAUAACCUUGCGAAAGUAAGACUAAUACCCAAUGAUAUCUCUAGAAGGCAUCUGAAAGAGAUUAAAGAUUUAUCGGUGAUGGAUGGGGAUGCGUCUGAUUAGCUUGGUUGGCGGGGUAACGGCCACCAAAGCAACGAUCAGUAGGGGUUCUGAGAGGAACGGUCCCCCANAUUGGAACUGAGACACGGUCCAAACUCCGUACGGGAGCA
rnacentral:rRNA from 1 species